AUUAAUUCCUCUGACAUUCCAAAAAAAAGUUUGUAUAGACAUAAGAAAGGUUAGGAAUGAGACUCCCCUUUAGAGAGGGAAGAACCCGAAGACUGGGUAGAUUUAAAAGCAUUUGGGAUACUUAGGAUUGGCAAAGACAGAUCAGGCAUAUGGGAGGAUUUUGAAGUGGUGUUAGAGAAGGAAGUUAAAGGAGCUGGAGGCUCAAAAGAAUUUUGGGGUUGGGUAAUGGUAAUAGAAGGCUGAAAGGGUUGAUGGGUUUGGGUUUGGGGGGAAGCUUGGGUAUUUGAGAUUGUGAAAUUAGGAGAGACAACAAGGUUAGAUGAGGGGUAGUCCUCCAUCAACGAUGAAGAUGACGCAGGAGCAUCCUCAAGGUUUGCUAAACAAGAGAAAUAGUUUCUUUUAGUGGUGACUAACUGUUUUUUGACAACAUGGUUUUUGGCUGCAGGUUUUGAAGAAACUUGGGUCCAAGAAGAGUCCUCUUUGAUAGGAACAGAGACCUGAGAAGUAGGAAUGAUUCUAUUCUGAGCCGGAAGAGCAAGUAAAUGUGUAAUCUCAUCUUUCCUUAUUAUGAUGACAUUUGUGUUAUCAGCUUCAAGAGGAACUGAACUUCCAACAACAUCCGCAGGAGAGACUGAGGGAUCGACACCAGAUUCUGUCUCCAUUCCCACUAUGGAAGCAUUGGCGGUCUCUAAGACGGCUUGUUCCGCAGCUUCUGUGUCCAUUGCCACUACAGAAGCUUCAGCAGUUUCUAUGACAAUUUGAUCAACUGGUGAAAGAGAAACAGUAGGAGGAGAAGACUGCGGAGGGGAAGAAGACUGCGGAGGAGGAGAAAUUGGUUUUGGAAGCCAUUGGGAUUCCCUCUGAAAAAUGACCUUGCCUUUCUGUUUUGGCAUCCAUUUUGAAGUAGGGCAGUGAGAUUGCAAAUGGCCGAGUUGAUGGCAGUUUGGACAGGUAGGUGGAAUCCACGGAUACUCGACAGAGAGAGGAAUGACAGUACGAAUCUUUGAAAGUAUAAACACGAAAACCUAGCUUAGA
rnacentral:lncRNA from 1 species